rnacentral:misc_RNA from 1 species
AAACCUCAACCUCCUUGGUUUCUUCUGGAGACCAAAGGAGGCUUGGACUUUGGAGGCCUUUGCUGGCGUCUCUCGCCAGCUCCUCUCAAAUGAAUUAGCGGGGUCCUCUUUGCCGAUCCUUGACAUGUGAUAAGAUGCUUCCGUGUCUAGGUUUCUGGCUCUGUUGCUUUUGGGACCCGCUUCUAGCCGUCUGGACCCUUGCGUCGAGACAACGUUCGAGCUCGUCUCCCUUCUCGGGAAACCCUCUCGACCCCACGAAC